CAAUAUUGAAAAGUAGCCCUUCCAAAUCAUUGCAUUCAGUUUUUAUUGAAUAUUUGUUUAACGUCCCAACUUUUUGGGAAUCCUGUCUGUACCAAAAAUCUCUAAACUUGAGGAACCAAACACCAUGGCACCAUUUAACGUGUCGCGACAUCAAUGUGACUGUCACGAAGCAAGGGGAGAGUUGAAGUCCUCUAUCAGUUGAAAAAGUGGUCUGAGUAAGAACCAUUUAACGUGUCGCAACAUCAAUGUGACUGUGACGAAGCAAGGGGAGACCUGAGUUGAAGUCCUCUAUCAGUUGAAAAAUUGGUCUGAGUAAUGAAGAUGGGUGAAGUGACUCUCGUAGGGGAUGAGCUGGUGAGACAAGUCCUUCUUCCAGAGCCACAACUAGUCAUUCUAGCCCUACCACCCCUUUCCUACCAACGGCUGAUGAACCGACCAUUGUUUGGCCUAAGUGGCUCAAUGCUUUUACACGUUACAUUGACGCACUCGGGGAAGAAAAGCUGACUGAUAACAAUAAGUGCAUGCUUCUACAAAACUGCCUAGGCCUAGAGGGUCAGAGUAUCUUCGCAGCACUCAUCCCGCGGGACCAAGCCUACACAAUGGUCAUUUCGACUCUGACAGCCUACUUUACUGCCGGGCGCACCACCUGACAGCGAUACCUCAGAUUCCACGAAAGAGAUCAAAAGGCUGGAGAGACCACAGCUGAGUUUGUUGCAGCGUUGGAAGACUUGCUGCCGCCCGGUGACACUGCAAGCAAUGAAAUAAUCCUGAAUCAGCUAAUAGAGAAAACAAAAUCGCCACAGCUCAGAAAGCGGCUGUGCACAAAAAGGGCAAGUCUCACACUACCUUAAACAGGCCACAGGACCACAAUGACCUCGGCCAACAACUAAGCAAAAGACGAAGGCCUCGGCAAGGGAAUAAAGUCGUGAUUGAAAUGAAAAGGACUCAAAGUCAUCAUAGCCAUGAUGAAUACAAGUUAGAAGAGGAGGAGCAUCAAGAAGAGGAAGAAAAUGACAAAAACGACCCCAAUUCUGAAGAUUACAAUUAUAAAACCAAUGGUACAUCUGCACCACCGAC